CUACCUCUUCGUCUCUCACCAUCUCUCAGAGACCCCCCCGUUAGCCCCGCCCUAAACCACCGCCUGCCGCCUGCCGGAAAUCGCCUACGGUGGCAGCCGGCGUCCAAACACUACCAAGUUUACACCCCUGACUCCUCUCCACCUCUCCAUUCCAAACCCCCAAACCAUUUCCCUCGAAUCUCAGCCAAACCUUUCGAAUAUUAGUUCAAAAAUCGACCCCGAACCCUAACUUACCCAAUCACCCCCAAACUAACACCCCUUGACCACCACAACUCCCCCUUCCCAAAUCCAUAGCCAGCUUCCUUCGAAUAUGGUCCAAUCUGCUCGAAUCUUAAAAACAAGGGUUCGAGUCUUAAAAGCCAAAAUCCAAAAAAAUUGAUGCUCCAGUUCCUCAUAGGUUUAGGACCGAUUUUAUCACAAAAUAAGGUUAUUCACUUGUUCUUGACAAAGAACAAGUGAUUGACCUUAUUUGGUGAUUUAAAUCAGAGGGUCAGUCACAAAGUCGAUCCGAGCAGGUGAGUUCUUUCCUUUUUUUUUAUUUAUUUUUGUUAAAUUUUAUUCUGAUUGUCCAUCUCUUCCCCAUUUCUUUUAUUUUCUAUGGUUGAAUUCAGUUGAAAUUCGACCAUAUCCGCGGUUCAGAAUGUGUUAUGUUGUUUCAUUUGCUUUGUGAAUAGGUUCUUUGUUUCAUUAAUUGUAUUUUCAAUGUGUUUAAAUUUCCAGAGUCACAUCUUAGUCAAUGUAACUGGCAUUAAUUUGAGAAUUCGGGCAGUUUCUUGUUCAAUUGUGUAAAUAAUCAAUUUGAUUACUGUAAGUUAAUCCUCAAAAACUAUUUAAGUUGUCACCUAACUUGAGAAGCUUCUAAAUGGGUGGUAGGGUAGAAAUUGCAUUACUGAAUUAAUUAAAAGCACUAAACUAGUGGAUAAUUAAGAAAUGAAAAGCGGAACUGAUAGUGGUAAAUGCACUAAGUUGAAUGCUUAUAAAUAGAUACUGAGUUCAUACACAAGGAGGAGGAGAACAUGUUCUGAAAAAUACUGAAAAAUACAGAUUUUUAAGAGCUAAGAAGUGAGGAAAAUCAGAAUGGCUGAAAAACUUUAGAAAAAAACCACUGUUUCAUUGAGUCCUUUGGUAACUUCUGAAAUUUUCUGAGUGUUGAAAAAUUCCUGGUUAAAUGACAGUUGAAAUGGAUUAAGAUCAAUUCUGGUUUGAGGUUUUCUGGUUCACUAUUUGGACUAAAAUUGUUUUCUGGGAUAUCUUACUUCAUUUUCUGGUUUGAGCUGGUCUAACUGGUUGAUUCUGCUACCCUGAUGUUUCUGGAUAACAUCUUAUUUUGCUGGUUUUUGUUUGCUCAAUAUCAGGUACCUCUCGUAGCUUUUGAUUAAGGAAUGAUUCCUGGAGAUGUAAUUUGGUUGGAGUUAGUUAAAUGAAGGCUACAUUCAAGUUGAUGUCCCUGUUGCUAUACUAUUAUGUUUUUGUCAUAUUCUGUACUUAGGCUUUGAAUUAUAGACAUUAAUUAGUCUUUCUUUUCUAAAACUGUGUGUGUAAGAGUAACCCAUAGAGUAUUUCGCAUGUGUAUUGAUAAGUGGACUAUGGACUUUGAUUAUUUAGGUUCAUGUUUGAUUUUGAGUUUUGGAUCACCACUACUGUUAGUAUUCUGCUGAAAUUGCCAUGUUCUAGUCUUGAAAAGCUGGCUGUUGGCAUGUAUGUGUGUUGGUUUAUACAAAUGCAAUUUGGAAGUGCUAAUUACUACUUGACAGUUAAUCUGAGUUUUAGUAUUCAAAAGGAAAGCUCAUAUGUAGGUUGUUUUUUUUAGGAAACAUGACUAUAUCAGCA
rnacentral:lncRNA from 1 species